UCUCACCUUAAGCUUUCGUUAGUCGAACGCUGUUGUGAGUACGUAUUGAAGUUUAAAAGUGAGUUUUUCGGGUAUCAGAGGAAAAACGAAAAUGCGCGUUUAUUUAUCCAUGUUACGUGUGCCAGAAAAACACUAAAAAGAGAUAUAUUGUAUUAGUAUAAUGCUAGAAGUGGACAAAGAUGUAUUGAAAAUGGAACAUGAUUCAACAGAUGAUUUACUGGAACAAUCAAGAUUCUGGUUCCAGAAAGUUUUCGUUCCUUUAAUGGUAUGCAUCGGCAUUACUGGAAAUACCAUUACCGUAAUGGUAUUAACACGACGUAGGAUGAGAUCCUCAACCAACAUUUACCUGUCAGCAUUAGCCAUAGCGGACAUUAUGUACUUGUUUUUGGUGUUUGUGCUCUCUUUUCAACAUUAUAAAAACAUACACCAUCGAAGAUAUGAAUUAUAUUGGAGAUUUUUUGGAUUAAGUCAUUGGCUUUGUGAUGCUGCAAGUAGUACGUCAGUAUGGCUAACUGUAUCAUUCACCAUAGAACGAUACAUAGCGGUAUGUCAUCCAAUGAAAGGAAAGUUCUUCUGCACAGAGAACCGAGCAAAAACCGUAACAGUUAUUAUCUAUAUUUACUGUAUACUUACAACUGCCUCAACAACUUUUGAGCAUCAACUGACGAUAGAGCCGGCGGAAUCGUGCAAUUGUCCUAAAAAUCUUUCAACAUCAUCUGCCAGUAAUACAAGAUCACAUGGUAAAGAUAAUUCUUCCUACGGAUCAGUAUUUAAUAGCUCUGAGUGUUUAACUGAAACACUUAAGAAGCUCAUGGUCAAUUGCUCGGAAGACCAUCCUCAUAUAAUUUACGUUUUCCCACAAAAAAUCCUAAAUACUGGACAAAGAUCGCUCACCGAUUACCAAAAUGCGACAAUUAUUCAUCAAAAACCAUUGGAAAACGUUACUGAGACGAGAUCCUUGAACUUGGACUCUCUAGAAAACAUUACAAACUCAAGAUAUGGAAAUACUACGAGUAUGAAUGACACUAUACCAGAUUGUUGUCAUAUUAAACUAAUUAAUGUGGAAAAGACUAACUUGGCCAAGAACAUAAAAUAUACUACAUUCAUGUAUUGGUAUAGUGCCCUAUUCUUUGGACUGAUACCUCUAGUUAUGAUUGCAACGUUCAAUUGCUUUUUAAUACGUGCGGUCUACGUAUCGCAGAAGAAAAGAAAAACUAUGACCAGGAGUAACACGCAAACUUCCCAAUACGACAAUUCAUCGGUAUCAAAUGAAAAUCGCAUAACAAUAAUGCUGAUUUCUGUGGUGGUUUUAUUUAUUAUCUGCCAGACUCCUACAGCAUCCAAUUUAAUUUACUACUCCUUCUAUCCGGCCAAGACUAGAAGACAGAAAAAUAUACAAAGUAUUUUAGGUAACGCGUUUAAUUCUUUGUUAACGGUAAACGCCUCCUGCAACUUCCUUCUCUACAGCAUCAUGUCAAAGAAGUUCCGGACAACUUUCAAGCAACUAUUCUUCCAACGCACCAAAAAACGCCAAGACACCGUUCAGCUCUCCUCACUAAAAAGCCAAAACUCUCAAAAGUUUAAUCCUUACCGUCACGGCCUUACCAGAGCCUCCUCGGAAUACGCCACCACCCCAAGAAACCUGGAGGGUAAGGAUCAAGCUUGGCAUUGGCAAUGAGAUGACAGUUGUCGACAUGAAUAAGCUGGCCUGAUGUUUCUGUUAUCUACGCCUCUGUGUGUUCACCAUUCUUCCAUUUUAUCAUGACGACCAGCUUGACUAGCCCGCCCCGAUCGAAGUCAAUGAUCACGAGACCAUUAGGAAAAGCUAGAUCAGCAUCCAAAAUGCUUUGAUUGUCAUUAUUGCUGCCUGGAUGUGCCAAAUGAGGUGUUUCUGUUUAAACCAAUACACAUAACUAACGUAGAAAGAAAAAAUGUAAACCGAUAAGACAAUAAAAAUGUACAAAUUUUA
rnacentral:misc_RNA from 1 species